ensembl:lncRNA
AGAAAACUGCCCCAGGGCAUGGCAGGGAGCCUCAGGCGGACGGCCUGGGGGGCAAGCAGAGGCAGAGUGAAGGCGGAACCCUUCAGGAGGCCGGCGGCAAGGACGAUGAGGGCUCAGUCCCUCAGGAGACCUGCAGUGGCACAGAACCCCCUCAGAAGGCCGGCAGCGGUGAAGGCGGAACCCUUCAGGAGGCCGGCGAAGGCGAGGUAGAGGGCGGGUCCCCUCAAGAGGAAGGCCAGGUAGAGGGCGGGUCCCCUCAGGAGGAAGGCCAGGUAGAGGGCGGGUCCCCUCAGGAGGCAGGCCAGGUAGAGGGCGGGUCCCCUCUGGUGGAAGGCCAGGCAGAGGGCGGGUCCCCUCUGGUGGAAGGCCAGGCAGAGGGCGGGUCCCCUCUGGUGGAAGGCCAGGCAGAGGGCGGGUCCCCUCUGGUGGAAGGCCAGGUAGAGGGCGUGCCUCCCCUGGACGGUCUGGAGGGCGGACCCCCUCUGGUGGACAGG